UGUCCAGGGCUGAACAACAACAUCACACCGGUGACCCGGAGCCCAGGGGCAGGUGCAGCCAGAGACGGCCGGCAACCUCCAGGCCCUUCACCCGCUUUACCAAGGAGGCAAGGUCACCCGCACCCCCGACCCUCCCACCUCAGCUCCCUCCCCCAAAUCAUAACGCGCGGCACAUGUCGACAUUCACCGGGCACUUACUGCGCCAGAAAGGGGGCUCUAAGCAGAAGGAGACCGUUACUCUCUUUAAGAACCUCCCAUCUGGAGAACAGAUCACAAUCCAGUAUGGAAACCAGCCCCAACCGGUUUUUCUGGCCUUCUCCCUUACCACUCUGCUCCUCCAGCACCUCCAGCUCCAGCUGUGCUAGAUGACUUUCUGUCCCUCCAGCGCGCAGAGCCCCCCUCGGCCCCAGCCCAUCCCCGUGCUUGGCCUGAAGCGCUUUUCUUCCACAGCUGACUCCUAACUCACACUUCAGGUUCUGAUUUGGAAGGCCAUCUCCUCGAGGAAGCCUUCCCGGACCCAUACACUGGUUGGAGGACCCCUUUGUCAGUGCUCCCAAGGCACCCCUCAUGGCCUCUCUCGUCUGUCUGCAACCUCACUAUCCGUGGCGUGUCUUUCCAUCCUCCUCGGCUGUGAGCUCCGUGAGGGCAGGGCCAGUCUUGCUCACGCUGAACCACUAGCCCUUCACAACGUGCCCUGGAAGAGAGCGGCAUCCUGCAUGUCUACGCCACCCAGCCUGGGGUUCUUUGGUACAGCACCCCAAGCCGACUGAGACAUUCCCAUGCUGCUCUCUGCAUUGUCUCUACUCUUCAGCCGAAGCUGGAGCUCCGAGGAGGCUCCACAGUGGCUGAGCCCAAAGCUGAGGACAAGUGUGAAGGUAAGUCCAAAAAGGUAUGUGCUUGGCUUCUGGCUUCCACCAAUGACAGAGUAGCUUAGUCACACCACCCUCCUACAGACAACAAUUACAAAGUUUGACCAAAUCCUUAAAAGUUAUGUGAAGGCACUGGGGAGCGAUCAAAAGCAGGCAGAAAUGAGAAGAGUCGACCUUGGAAGGAAAGCAACUGCACCUGAUCAGACUUAUACAUUUGCAUGUUGUGCCUGAGGGCAUGUCCCCAUCUCUAGGGGGCGCAGUUCCCUGUGGCAGUGGGCAAAGUGCAGGGUUGGCAGAGCAGUCAGAAAGAUAAGGGGAACCUUGAAAGGGAUGGGGAGGGUGAACCCCCAAAUCUGCAAGUAAAAUAUGUUCAAAUUCUUGGCUGGAGACCCCAGGGGGCCCAAGAAAAAAAGCAGCAACUGGAAACAAAAAGAACUGAGUGGAGAUUCCAGCUGCUGCUAGUAGAGGGGACCCAGGAAUUGGAACUUGAAUUUCAUCACAUUAACUACCUGCUAAGACAAAAGCCCUUCAGAGGACUGUAACAGAAUCCAGAACCUCCACACUGUACCAUCACCAUGUCUACUGUUAAAUCAGAAAUCACUAGACAUGCAAAGAAACAAGAAAACAUGACCCAAACUCAAGAAAAAAGUAGUGUAUAGAAACCAAAGCCAAGAUGACCCAGAUGUUGCCAUCGGCAGACAGGAACUUUACAGCACUUGAAGGAAUUAAAGGAAAAUAUAUAGAUAAGGAAUAGACAAAGGGGGAAUAGAGAAAUAGAAACUAUAAAAAAGAACCAGGGACACCUGGGUGGCUCAGUCAGUUAAGCAACUGCCUUCAGCUCAGGUCAUGAUCUCGAGGUCCUGGGAUCAAGCCCCACAUUGGACUUCCUGUUCAGCAGGGAGCCUGUUUCUCCAUCUCCCUCUGCCCCUUCUCCGCCCCCCACCGUGCUCUCUCUCAAAUAAAUAAAUAAAAUUAAAAAAAAAAACCAAAUGGAAAUUCUAAAGCCGGAAAGUAAUGAAAUGAAAUGAAAAAUUCCCUGCACUGUCUUAAUAGCAAAAGAAGGCAGGAAAAAAAGAGUCAGUGCAUUUGAAGUUAAAUAAACACAAGUUAAACAAUUUGAAAAAAACAACUGAAGGAAAAACUGAACAGAGUUUAUCUAGAUAACUGUGGGACAAUAUCCAGCAGUCUAACAACAUCUAACUUAAGAGAGAAAAUGGGUCACAAAGAGUAUUUGAAAAAAUAAUGGCCCAAACUUCCCAAAACUGGAGAAAAGAAACAUCAAUUUGCAGAUCCCAGAAGCUCAAUACAUGCCAAGCAGACUAAAUAAGAAACCGCUCCCAGGCAAAUCAUAGUCAAACUACAAACGCAAAGAGAAAAAAUCCUGAGAGCAGCUAGAAAAAAAAAAAGACAAAUUACAUAGAGGAUAUUAUAUCUAAUGACAGGUAACUUUUGAUCAAAAAUAAUGGAGGCCAAAAGACAAUGGAAUAUCCUUAAAGGGCUGGAAGAAAAAAAUUCUGUCAACCAUGAAUUAAAUCCCAGCAAAACUAACUUUCAAAAAAUGAAGGUGAAAUAAAGAUAUUUUCAAACAUAAAAGCUGAGAGAAUUCAUCGCCAAAAGAUCUGCACCACAAUGCAUGUUAAAGAAAUUCUGAAAGCCAAAGGGAACUAACACUAGAUGAUAACUCUCAAACAUACAGGAAGGAAUAAAGAUCACUGAAGUGCUAAACAGGUGGGUAAAUAUGAAAAGCUGCUUAUGUAUUUUUAAAACAUAAGACUAUCUAAGGCAAAAAUUAUACAAUAUCAUAAGGUUUAUAAGUUGCAGGAAAGAACGGAGAAACAAAAAAUACACGAGACAAACAGAAAACAGCAAAAUGGUAGAACCAAAUCCAACUAUAUCAAUAAUUACAUUAAACGUAAACAGACUAGGGGAGGGUCUGAGAUGGCAACAUAGGAAGACCUUGAACUCAUGUCCUCCCACAGUCACAUCAAUUCUACACCCAGAUAUAGAGCAAUUCUUCCUGAAGAACUGGCUGAUCCAACAACUUCUGCAAAACAAAACAUAAAGGGACCACACAGAGAAGGGCACAAGAGCUGGGAACACAGUAACAACAGGCACGCCUCCCCUGACACUGAGGACUGGAGUAGAGAGGAACAGCAUUGAGGGACCCUGUGCAGAUUCACCUGCCCUGGGGCACAGAAAAAAAGCUGUGGUUUAAAAGGCUUAAAUGACUAAAGGCGAAGGAAACCCAUUCACUAACCCUAGAGCCUCUGACAAAUGGUGGGGAAAUUGCUAGAAUUUUCUCUGGGGUCAGAGGUGCUGGAAAGCACCACCGUUUAUGUUGCCCCUCCACCUUGGUAGACAGAUGGGAGCAGAGGCUAGACACUUGAGCCUGCCUACUGCCUCAGUGAGCUUCAGGCCCCCAGCCCAUACCAGCUCUAGCCAUAUUCCCAAGGUGCCCCCCUCAACCCAUGCCUGCUCAAGCACCAGGUGCCCCCAGCAUGGCACACCCCAGACCUCCAUCCCACCCUCACCUGUGCCAGCUUCAGUUUUCCCUUCCAGGGUGCCCCCUGCAGAGAACACCCAGGGACCCCGAGUUGGCACCCACUAGAGCUCCAGUCAGCCAGCUAAAGCUACACCCAGCCAGGCACACACAGUCUAUGCAGAUAAGUUCCUACAUGAAUGUUACUCUUUCCAAACAGGGAGAGGCAGAUGUUUCACCUAAUUCAUGGAAACAAACACAGAAGAUCAAACAAAAUGAGCAGACAUAUAAACAUGCUCCAAACAAAAGAACAAAUCUUCAGAAAAAGAACUAAACAAAACAGAGAUAAGCAAUCUACCUGAUUAAUAGUCAUAAACAUGCUCACGAGACUAAAACAGGAGUGGAUGAGCUCAGUGAGAAAUUCAACAAAGAGAAAGAAAACAUAAAAAAGAACCAACCAGAGUUGAAGAAUACAGUAACUGAAAUGAAAAAUACAGGAGAAGACAUCAACAGCAGAUUAGCAGAUACAGAUACAGAAUGGAUCAGCAAUCUGGAAGAAAGGAUAAUGGAAAGUACCCCCUGAACAGCAAAAAGAAAAAAGAAUUUUAAAAAAUGAGGAUAGGUUAUCGACAGAUGAAUGGAUAAAGAAGAUGUGGUGUGUGUGUGUAUACAUUCCACUGUGUGUGUAUACAUUCCAUUGUGUGUAUAUACACACACAAUGGAAUACUACUCAGCCAUCAAAAAAAUGAAAUCUUGCCAUUUGGAAUGACAUGGAUGGAACUAGAGGAUAUUAUGCUAAGAGAAAUAAGUCAAUCAAAGAAAGACAAUUAUCAUAUGACCUCACUCAUAUGUGGAAUUUAAGAAAUAAAACAGGAUCACUGGGGAAGGGGGGAAAAAUAAAACAAGACGAAAUCAGAGAGACAAACGAUAAGAGACUCUUAAUCAUAGGAAACAAACUGAGGAUUGCUGGGGGGAUGGGGUAACUGGAUGAUGGACAUUAAGGAGGGCACAUGAUGUAAUGAGCACUGGGUAUUAUAUAGGACUGAUGAAUCACUGAACUCUACCUCUGAAACUAAUAAUACAUUAUAUAUUAAUUAAUCGAUUUAAAUUUUUUAAAAGUGGGAUAUAGUGGGUGCCUGGGUGGCUCAGUUGGUUAGGUGACUGCCUUCGGCUCAGGUCAUGAUCCUGGAGUCCCGGGACUGAGUCCUGCAUCGGGCUCCCUGCUCAGCAGGGAGUCUGCUCCUCCCUCUGACCCUCCUCCCUCUGACCCUCCCCCCUCUCAUGUGCUCUCUCGCUCUCAUUCUCUCUCUCUCAAAUAAAUAAAAUCUUUAAAAAAAAAUUUUUUUAAGUGGGAUACAGCUGUUAUAAUAUUAAAAAUCUUAAUUUUGAAAACAUUAAAAAUCUUAAGUGAAAAAAAAAUUGAGAAUAGGUUACAGGAUCUAUGAGGCAACUUCAAGUGUAUUAACAUUUGCAUUAUGGGAGUCCCAGAAGAAGGAAGAGAAAAGGGGCAGAAAACUUAUUUGAAGAAAUAAUAGCUGAAAAGGUCUCUAAUUUGGGGAAAGAGAUAUCCAGAAAACCCCAAAUAAGAUGAAUUCAACGAAGUCCACACCAAGACAUAAUAAUUAAAAUGUCAAAGAUUAAAGAGAGAAUUUUUUUUUUUUAAUUUUAUUUAUUUGACUGGGAGAGAGAGCACAAGUGGGGAGGAGGCGGAGAGGGAGAAGCAGGCUCCCUGUGGGGCUUGAUCCCAGGACCCUGGGAUCAUAACCUAAGCCGAAGGCAGACACGUAACCGACUGAGCCACCCAGGUGCCCCAAAGAGAGAAUCUUAAAGGGAGCAAGAGAAAAGCAAAAAGUAACUAACAAGGGAAAUCCCAUUAGGCUAUCAGCUGAUUUUUCAGCAGAAACAUUGAAGUGGCAUGAUAUAUUCAAAGUGCUGAUAGAAAAAACCUUCUACCAAGAAUACUCUACUUGGCAAGUUUAUUAUUCAGAAUUGAAGGAGAGAGAGUUUCCUGGACAAACAAAAUUUAAAGGAGUUCAUCACCACUAACCUGGCCAUUAAAGAUUUCUUUAAGCAGAAUAGAACAUAACUAGAAAAUGAUUAUGAAAGGAAAAAAUUUCAUGGGUGGAAGUAAACAUAUAGUAAAGGUAGUAGAUCAAUCACCUAGAAAGCUAGUAUAAAGGUUAAAAAACAAAAGUAGUAAAAUCAAUUAUAUCUAAAACAUUAGUGAAGAGAUUCACAAAAUAGAAAGAUGUAUAUGACAUCAUAUACAUAAAAACAGGGGAAGUAAAAAUGUAGUGCUUUUAGAAUGUGUUUGAACUUAAAUGACCAUCAACUUAAUACAGAUUGCUAUAUACUUAGGAUAUUAUAUAUGAACCUCAUGGUUACCACAAACUAAAAAUCUGUACUAGAUACACAAAAAAUAAAGAGAAAGGAAUCCAAACAUAACACCAAAGAAAGUCAUCAAUCACAAGGGAAGAGAGUAAGAGAAGAAGGAACAGAGAAAAACUACAAAAACAACCAGAAAACAAUAAACAAAAUGGCAAUAAGUACACGCCUAUCAAAACUUUAGAUGUAAACAGUCUAAAUGCUCCAAUCAAAAGACUGAAUGGAUAAAGAAACAAGACCCAUCUACAUGCUGCCUACAAGAGACUCACCUGAGACCUGAAUGGAUGGGAAAAACAUUUACCAUGCAAAUGAAAGCAGGAAAAAAAAACAAAUAAAAACAAAAACAACCCCCCCCCCAAACUGGAGUAGCAAUACUUUUAUCAGACAAAAUAGACUUUAAAACAGACUAUAGCAAGAGACAAAGAAGGGCAUUACAUAAUGAUAAAGUAAUCCAACAAGAGGAUAUAAUAAUUGUAAGUAUCUAUGCCCAAUAUUGGAGUAUCUAAAUACAUGAAGCAAAUAUUGACAGCGAGAGAGAAAUUGAUGGUACACCCCACUUACACCAAUGGAUAGAUCAUCCAGGCAGAAAAUCAAUAAGGAAACAGUGUCUCUAAACGACACAUUAGACCAGAUAGACUUAACAGAUAUAAACAGAACAUUCCAUCCCAAAUCAACAAGAUACACAUUCUUUUCAAGCACACACAGAACAUUAUCCAGAAAAGAUCACAUUAGGUCAUAAAAUAAGUCUCAAUAAAUUUAAGAAGACUGGAAUCAUAUCAAAUAUCUUUUAUGACCACAACUGUAUGAAACUAUAGAGAUUACAAGAAAAAUAGACUAGAAAAAAGCAGAAACACAUGUAGGCUAAACAACAUGCUACUAAACAACAAAUGAGUGAAUGAAGAAAUCAAAAAGAACAUAAAAAAAAAUACCUGGAAACAAAUGAAAAUGGAAACACAACAGUUCAAAAUAUUUGGGAUGCAGCAAAGGCAGUUUUCAGAGAGAAGUUUAUAGCAAUACAGGCCUACCUCAACAAACAAGAAAAAUCUCAAUCUAACCCUACACCUAAAGAAACUAGAAAAAGAGGAACAAACAAAGCCCAAAGUUAAUAAAAGGAAGGAAAUAAUAAAUAUCAAGCAGAUAUAAAUGAACCAAGAGCUGGUUCUUUAAAGGAUAAACAAAAUUGAUAAACCUUUAGCCAGACUCAUCAAGAAAAAGAGUGAGGACUCAAAGAAUAAACUCAGAAAUGAAAGAGAAAUUAAAACGGAUAACACAGGGUGCCUGAGUGGCUCAGUCGGUUGAGCGCCUGCCUUCGGCUCAGGUCACGAUCCUGGAGUACCAGGAUCGAGUCCUGCAUCGGGUUCCCUGCUCAGCGAGGAGUCUGCUUCUCCCUCUGACCCUCCCCCCUUCUUGUGCUCUCUCUCUAUCACUCUCUCUCUCUAAUCAAUAAAAUUAAAAAAAAACUGAUAACACAGAAAUAAAAAGGAUUAUAAGACUACUACAAAAAAUUAUACACCACAAAUUGGAUGAUCUAGAAGAAAUAAAUUCUUAGAAAUAUACAAUCUUCCAAGACUGAAUCAGGAAGAGAUAAAAAAUCUAAACAGAUUUCUGUUCAGAUUGCCCCAACACCAAAACCAAAGACACUACCAAAAAAAGAAAAUGACAGGCCAAUAUUCCUGAUGAAUAUAGAUACAAAAAUACUCAACAAAAUAUUAGCAAACCAAAUUCAACAACACAUUAAAAAGUUCAGUGACCAAGAUCAAGUGGGAUUUAUUCCAGAGGGAUUUAUUCAAGAAUGGUUCAAUAUCUGCAAAUAAAUCAAUGUGAUACACCACAUUAACAAAAUGAAGGAUAAAAACCAUAUGAUCAUCCCAAUAGAUGCAGCAAAAGCAUUUGACAAAAUUCAACAUCCAUUCAUGAUUUAAAAAACUCUCAACAAAGGGUCAGAGGGAACAUAUCUCAACGUAAUAAAGGCCAUAUAUGACAAACCCACAGCUAACAUCAUACUCAACAGUAAAAAACUGAAAGCUUUUCCUCUAAGAUCAGGAACAAGACAAGAUGUCCAUUCUUGCCAUUUUUAUUCAACACAGAACUAGAAGUCCUAGCGGCAGCAAUCAGACAAGAAAUAAAAACUAUUCAAAUUGGAAAGGAAGAAGUGAAACUCACUUUUUGCAGAUGACAUGAUACUACAUAUGGAAACCCUAAAGACCCCAUUAAAAACCAUUAGAAAUAAUAAAUGAAUUCAGUAAAGUUGCAGGAUACAAAAUUAACAUACAGAAAUCUGUUGCAGUUCUAAACACUAAUAACAAAGUAGCAGAAAGUGAAAUUAAGAAAACAAUCCCAUUUAUGAUUGCACCAAAAAGAAUAAAAUACCCAGGAAUAAAUUUAACCAAGAAAGUGAAAGACUUGUACUCUGAAAACUGUAAGACGCUGUUGAAAGAAAUUGAAGAUAACACCAAAAAAUGAAAAGAUAACCACACUCAUGGACUGGACGAAUUAAUAUUGUUAAGAUGUCCAUACUACCCAAAGCAAUCUACAGAUCCAAUGCAAUCCCUUUCAAAAUAUCAAUAGUAUUUUUACAGAACUAGAAUACUAAAAUCUGUAUGGAACCAAAAAAGACUGAAUAGACAAAGCAAUCUUGAGAAAGAACAAAGCUGGAGGUAUCACCAUCCCAGAUUUCAAGCUACACUAUAAAACUAUAGUAAUCAAAACAGUAUGGUACUGGCACAAAAUAGACAUAAAAGUCAACAGAACAGAGUAGGUAGCCCAGAAAUGAACCCAGAAAUGUUUGCAUAUGGUCAAUUAAUCUAAAACAAAGGAGGGAAGAAUAUACAAUGCAGAAAAGACAGUCUCUUCAAUAAAUGGUGUUGAGAAAACCGGACAGCUACGUGCAAAAAAAUAAAACUAGACCACUUUCUUACACCAUACAACUUACACGUACACAAAAGUACACUCAAAAUGGAAUUAAGACUGGAAACUAUAAAACUCCUAAAGGAAAACAUAGUCAUUAAUCUCUUGGACACUGGCCUUAGCAACAUUUUUCUGGAUCUGUCUCCUUAUGCAAGGGAAACAAAAGAAAACAAACUAUUGGGACUACACCAAAGUAAAAAGCUGUUGCACAGCAAAGGAAACCAUCAAGAAAAUGAAAAGGCAACCUACUAAAUGAUAUAUCAUUUGCAAAUGGUAUAUCCAACAAAGGGUUAAUAUCGAAAAUAUAUCAAGAACACAUUCAACUCAUGUAUCACCCUCCAAAAAAUUAGAUUAAAAAAAUGGCAGAGGAUCUGAAUGACAAUUUUCCAAAGAAGACAUUCAGAUGGCCAACAGACACAUGAAAUGAUGCUCAACAUCACUAAUCGUCAAGGAAAUGCAAAUCAAAACCGCAAUGAGAUAUCCCCUCACACCAGUCAGAAUGGCUAGUACCAAAAACACAAGAAAUAAGUGUAGGCAAGGAUGUGCAGAAAAAGGAACCCUCACUUAGUGUUGAUGGGAAAGUAAGUCGAUACAGCCACUAUGGAAAACAGUAUGGA